rnacentral:rRNA from 1 species
UGAACCUGAAUAUCCAUUAUGGAAAAUUCAAUGCUAAUAAUAUGAUAUAUAAAAAAUAUUAUAAAAAUAGUGUGCAAUUUUUCCAUAUAAGGACAUUGUAAUCUGUUAAUGUAAUAAAUAUUUAUCAAAAGAUCCAUUACUUAAGUUUAUUCAAAUUGUUUAUCUUCGGAUUUUCAACAUAAAAUAAAUGUUUUGGAUUUGAUAAAUCAUUGACAGAUAUAAUUAUAUAUUGUGCUUAAAUUUUUCGGAAUUUUACAAUGGUAGAUAGAUCUAUUGAUUUGUUUAUUUAAUUGUAUGCACUUUUAUGAUUAACAAUGCGAUAGAUUCAGGAUACCUUCGGGACCCGUCUUGAAACACGGACCAAGGAGUCUAACAUAUGUGCAAGUCAUUGGGUAUUUUUAAUAAAACCCAAUGGCAUAAUUAACUUAACUGUUAUAUAAUAAUGGGAUUAGUUUAUAAUUUGAUAUGAAUUAUUUAUUUCAAUCCCGGGGCGUUCUA